rnacentral:rRNA from 1 species
AGGGGCAGCAUGGUCUUAGCUUGCUAAGGCCGAUGGCGACCGGCGCACGGGUGAGUAACACGUAUCCAACCUGCCGUCUACUCUUGGACAGCCUUCUGAAAGGAAGAUUAAUACAAGAUGGCAUCAUGAGUCCGCAUGUUCACAUGAUUAAAGGUAUUCCGGUAGACGAUGGGGAUGCGUUCCAUUAGAUAGUAAGCGGGGUAACGGCCCACCUAGUCUUCGAUGGAUAGGGGUUCUGAGAGGAAGGUCCCCCACAUUGGAACUGAGACACGGUCCAAACUCCUACGGGAGGCAGCAGUGAGGAAUAUUGGUCAAUUGGGCGAGAGCCUGAACCAGCCAAGUAGCGUGAAGGAUGACUGCCCUAUGGGUUGUAAACUUCUUUUAUAAAGGAAUAAAGUCGGGUAUGGAUACCCGUUUGCAUGUACUUUAUGAAUAAGGAUCGGCUAACUCCGUGCCAGCAGCCGCGGUAAUACGG